UAGUUUUUCACAGCAUACUUUAAAACCAAUGUUGACUUAAAUCCACUGUUACGUUCCAACAAUUUAGUCACACCAAGAACAGAAUUUUUCAGUGACAGAACUGGACAAACGGAGCCUUGUGUUUUCUCAAGUACCUCACAAACAGAGAACUGCAUUGCUUCAACAUCUGAAAUGGAAGAACAUUAUCAAGUAGACAACAUGUCAGACACACUUACGAUAGACAAAACUCCCAGCACCAAUGUGG